rnacentral:rRNA from 1 species
UACGUAGGGUGCAAGCGUUGUCCGGAAUUAUUGGGCGUAAAGAGCUCGUAGGCGGUCUGUCGCGUCUGGUGUGAAAACUCAAGGCUUAACCUUGGGCCUGCAUCGGGUACGGGCAGACUAGAGUGCGGUAGGGGAGACUGGAAUUCCUGGUGUAGCGGUGAAAUGCGCAGAUAUCAGGAGGAACACCGGUGGCGAAGGCGGGUCUCUGGGCCGUAACUGACGCUGAGACGCGAAAGCGUGGGGAGCGAACCGG